AUACUUACCUGGCAGGGGAGAUACCAUGAUCACGAAGGUGGUUUUCCCAGGGCGAGGCUUAUCUAUUGCACUCCGGAUGUGCUGACCCCUGCGAUUUUCCCCAAAUGUGGGAAACUCGACUGCAUAAUUUGUGGUAGUGGGGGACUGCGUUCGCGCUUUCCCCUG
rnacentral:snRNA from 1 species